UAAAUAAGGGUAAAGAUGGGCAC
rnacentral:piRNA from 1 species